ACGUAGGGUCCGAGCGUUGUCCGGAAUUACUGGGCGUAAAGGGCGCGUAGGCGGCCUGCUAAGUCGAACGUGAAAUCCCCGGGCUCAACCCGGGAACUGCGUCCGAUACUGGUUGGCUUGAAUCCGGGAGAGGGAUGUGGAAUUCCAGGUGUAGCGGUGAAAUGCGUAGAUAUCUGGAGGAACACCGGUGGCGAAGGCGGCAUCCUGGACCGGUAUUGACGCUGAGGCGCGAAAGCCAGGGGAGCAAACGGGA
rnacentral:rRNA from 1 species